rnacentral:rRNA from 1 species
CCUACGGGUGGCAGCAGUGAGGAAUAUUGGUCAAUGGGCGCGAGCCUGAACCAGCCAAGUAGCGUGAAGGAUGACUGCCCUACGGGUUGUAAACUUCUUUUAUAAAGGAAUAAAGUGAGGCACUUGUGCCUUUUUGUAGGUACUUUAUGAAUAAGCAUCGGCUAACUCCGUGCCAGCAGCCGCGGUAAUACGGAGGAUCCGAGCGUUAUCCGGAUUUAUUGGGUUUAAAGGGAGCGUAGAUGGGUUGUUAAGUCAGUUGUGAAAGUUUGCGGCUCAACCGUAAAAUUGCAGUUGAUACUGGCAGCCUUGAGUUCAGUUGAGGUAGGCGGAAUUCGUGGUGUAGCGGUGAAAUGCUUAGAUAUCACGAAGAACUCCGAUUGCGAAGGCAGCUUACUGGCCUGCCACUGACAUUGAUGCUCGAAAGUGUGGGUAUCAAACAGGAUUAGAUACCCGAGUAGUC